UUAAUAGAUAAUAUUAAUAUCCUAUUUUUCUUAAAUAUGAGAAGACGACAUUACUUAUGAGUUACUUUCACGUUGAACACACUAUGAAAGAUGGGAAAAAAUGUUGAACAGCAGUAAUAACAAGACAAAGAUUUAUUAUAAUUAUUAUUAUAUUCACGCCGUUCAUUUGUAUAUGUACAUUAGUGACAUUAAAAUAGAAUCGCUCUUCGAGGUCGCAACCCGUUUUUGUGAGUACUCCGACAAUUGUGAUGAAUUCCUCAUUUCUGAUGCAUCUUGUCGAAUCAGCUUUAGCAUCACGUUAAAGAAAGAGAAAUCAAAGUCAUUUUAUAAAUUCAUAACUACAGUUUGUUUGCUUUCUACAUCACAGAGGAAAUUAUGCUGAAGUACACGUUAGAGGGACACGUUUGUGAGAUAGAAAGUGAAGUAUCAUUUCAUCUUUCAGACACAGAUAAGAAAUUUUAUGCUCCCUAAGUUUCAUCACUUUAAUGUCCGAACACUUACCCAUUCUAUUUAUUAAUUUUACAAAUCUACGAGGACACGAAAGUGAUAUCGUUUGUUUCUCCUUUGUUAUCUCGCAACGAAACGAUGCACAAUUUCGAUGUAACUGAACAAUCCCUUGAUCAAUCAUUAUUCAUAUUCGCCAUUUAUCAUUGAUCUGUAACUUGUGAAAUCUUUAUAAUUUAGCCUAGCAUGCACUCUUCACGUCUGCCUCUUUUUUUUAGAAUACGAUAGAUUAGCGGUUUUGUUUACGUUGUUGUUGUAUUGUAGCGGGACCAGACCCGUGAGGGAGAUGUGGUGACGAAUCAACCGAGAGGCCUAAAUAAGGAAGAAGAAAGCGACGAAGAUGCGAUUACGGCCCAACCGCAGGGCGGUCCACAGAAUAGUUCGACGAACCAGCCAAUUUUCGCUAUGCCACCGCCGGCCGCCAUGGCCGACGAGAAUACAAAUUUGAAUAGCGGCGCUGAGAGAGUUAUUUACACAACUGGUAUUACGAGUACAUAAAUAUUAAUGCAUGUUCUGCGGGUCACCAUUUUUCUUAUGUAGUUUUAGCCAUAUUUACAUAUUCCUCUUGUUUUUGACUUUUCUUUCUUCUGAUCAACUACCGAGUAAAGUGGUGUCGCUCGAUAACGCGCAACAUAACUACGUAAUGUAUUGAUACUGUUAGCUAUUGCUUCGAUUAAUAAUUUAAUGGCUGUGCUGUGCGCACAAUCUUUUAUCCCGUAUCUUUUCGAAUCGUAGGCUUAUUUACAUAAUUUAAAACUGAUUGAGUAAGUUAAGGCUAUAACUAAAUUUUUUUUAUCGCCACAAUUUAUACGCAAUUUUAAGCAAACGUAGAGGAUUGUAUCUUGAGCAAAUUAUUAAUAAAAUUUUUUCAUUGGAUUACAA